UACGGAGGGUGCGAGCGUUAAUCGGAAUUACUGGGCGUAAAGCGCGCGUAGGCGGUUUGUUAAGUCAGCUGUGAAAGCCCCGGGCUCAACCUGGGAACUGCAGUUGAUACUGACCGACUGGAGUACGAGAGAGGGAGGUAGAAUUCCAUGUGUAGCGGUGAAAUGCGUAGAUAUAUGGAGGAAUACCAGUGGCGAAGGCGGCCUCCUGGCUCGAUACUGACGCUGAGGUGCGAAAGCGUGGGGAUCAAACAGG
rnacentral:rRNA from 1 species